rnacentral:rRNA from 1 species
ACUCCUACGGGAGGCAGCAGUGGGGAAUAUUGCACAAUGGGCGCAAGCCUGAUGCAGCAACGCCGUGUGAGUGAAGAAGGUUUUCGGAUCGUAAACUCUGUCCUAAGGGAAGAAACAAAUGACGGUACCUUAGGAGGAAGCCCCGGCUAACUACGUGCCAGCAGCCGCGGUAAUACGUAGGGGGCAAGCGUUUAUCCGGAAUCACUGGGCGUAAAGGGUGCGUAGGCGGCUUAGCAAGCCAGGGUGAAAGGCAUUGGCUCAACCAAUGUAAGCCUUUGGAACUGUUAAGCUUGAGUGCAGGAGAGGUAAAGUGGAAUUCCUAGUGUAGAGGUGAAAUUCGUAGAUAUUAGGAGGAACACCAGUGGCGAAGGCGACUUACUGGACUGUAACUGACGCUGAUGCACGAAAAGCGUGGGUAGCGAACAGGAUUAGAUACCUGGUAGACU